rnacentral:rRNA from 1 species
GGCAGCACCUAGUCAAUCUUGUUUAGUUUCAAAAAACUAAGCCGAGUCAGGCUUGUUAGUACUUGGUUGGGAGACCACCAGGAAAUUCCAGGACUGCAGUCU